GAAUAUUGCACAAUGGGGGAAACCCUGAUGCAGCAACGCCGCGUGGAUGAUGAAGGCCUUCGGGUUGUAAAAUCCUUUUCUGAGGGAAGAUAAUGACGGUACCUCAGGAAUAAGUUCCGGCUAACUACGUGCCAGCGGCCGCGGUAAAACGUAGGGGACAAGCGUUAUCCGGAUGUACUGGGCGUAAAGCGCAUGUAGGUGGCGCGGAAAGUUGGACGUGAAAGCUCCCGGCUUAACUGGGAGAGGUCGUUCAAAACUGUCGUGCUUGAGGUUGGAAGAGGAGAGCGGAAUUCCCGGUGUAGUGGUGGAAUGCGUAGAUAUCGGGAGGAACACCAGUGGCGAAAGCGGCUCUCUGGUUCACACCUGACACUGAGAUGCGAAAGCGUGGGGAGCGAACGGGA
rnacentral:rRNA from 1 species